rnacentral:rRNA from 1 species
CCCUUAGAUGGUCUGGGCGGCACGCGCGCUACAAUGAUGCAUUCAAAAAGUCUUCUGACCUUAGAAGGUUGGGUAUUCUCCAAAGUGCAUCGUGAUGGGAAUAGUUUAUUGCAAUUUUUAAUCUUGAACGAGGAAUUCCUAGUAAGUACAGGUCAUCAACUUGUGUUGAUUACGUCCCUGCCCUUUGUACACACCGCCCGUCGCUCCUACUGAUUGAGUGUCUCGGUGAAUUCUUUGAUCUUCUGUCGAUUCAGUUCACUGAUCCGACGGUGGAAAGUUGAAUGAACUUCGUCACUUAGAGGAAGGAGAAGUCGUAAC